AGCUAAAAUGCAAGAAUUUUGCAACGUCGUGGCAAAUUAUUUCAUUAUCUUAUAUUACUUGUCCCUUCAAAAGGAAAGAAAGCCACCGACUUUUGAGAAAGCUCGACUUUAUGGGAAUUUUUUCUUGUGCGGACAAAUACACACACAGACAGUACAACGUUAAAUACACAAAUUUAUAGAGCACUGAGAGUAAGCCUAAGAAGUUUCCUGCAAUGCGAGGGAAUAAAAAAAAGCAGCGAUGCCGUUCUAUGAACCCGAACAAAAUCGAAGGCGACUUUGGACCAGCCGCACAGAAAACGAGAGGCCCCAUCGCCGAUUGUCCAGUCUAUACGUAUGUUGUUUGGUUAGGUAUUCAAUUCAAUGCUGUAUGUAUGUUGUGAGUGAAGCCAUGCAGCUCUCUACAACUACAACUACAACUUACAACAAUGUCAUUCAGAGUUGUACAACUGAUUUGUUUAUUUUUGAUAGAGUUAUUGCAGGUGUUAAAUAUUCGAAAUUUAAAUUAUUUAUCUGUUUUUUUUUUCUUUUUGCUAACAUUAUUUUGUACUAAUGUUCGGUGUUUAGACCGUAUGUUCUCUGAAUGCUAUUUAAGAGUCUACCAGCUUUCCUUGAUGAAACUUGUUUUGUUCCCAUGCGCAAAAUGGUAAUUUAUCUGUCUAUGUGGUCCGCAGUAAUCAUUUGUCCAGUGUAUUUCUACUCUUUAUUUAUUUGUUAAUGGUCGACAAAACGAGUGACUUCCUUAUUACCCAAUACAUAAUACCCAAUACAUAAUACACACAAUUAUGAAAAUUAAAGGCUUAUAGCCUAGUUAGAGCAAACAAUUUUCAAGUAGCAUCCCCGACCGGUGAAGGUGUUUUAUUUGCCUGUCCGGCCAGCUAUGCUCCUUUUCACAGCUAAUUUUGUCAGUGACUCUAUUAGAGCGUACAGCUGAGAAGAGGGCUGUUAGUAGAGAAAACAAAGUUCCUAAGUAAAAUUAAAAAUAAUCUUAAUUUACAUUAUUAAUUAAGAAAAUAUAAUAAAUGAGGCAAAAGAAAGAAAGUAGUUAUUAAAAAAGUAAAGAAAUUGAAACAAGGUAUAUAGAAUGUUAGGUAUGGAUAGAGAGAUAGUAAUGGGAAACCACACGGUGGGGGAAAAUUUAUAGCCAAUUUAUGUAGGAAGACAACAUCGAGAAUUGUCCUACGGCUUGUUAACGACGGAAGAUUAAGAAGAAGCAGCCGGCUGCAGUAGGAUGUCAACCGAAGAUUAGGGUCCCAAUUUAAGCCUCAAGUAGUAUUAUUCAAGGAGAGGGCAAGUCAGAGAGAUAAACAGAAGAUUCGUUAUAAAAGGAUCGUUAAGUUAACAGUGUGGGUAUGUGGUCAGAGGUCGAAUAGUCGCUCAGCUUCGAUGUGUGAAUGACAGAAGUGAAGGUCGUCAAUGGUAUUUCGUAACUGUAACUGCCUUACUUAAUCUUGUAUUUUUGGACCACCCUCCUCCUAAUAAAAAAUUUCAUGUCCAGAUCGGCUACAAUAAUAUCUUCUGAUAUGUGUCCACUGAUAUCCUAUUCUAUGAUUUAUUUUUAUCCUGACUUUAUUCCUUGAGUUGUAAUGUUCGGUGACCAAUGUUGUAACGGAAAAAAUCGCUUGUGUGUAACCUUAGUCGCUUUUUUACUUUACCAAGGACCUUUUCAUCAUGCAUACGGACUUGCCAUAUUGGAUAAUGAGCGGAUAGCAGCUAUUUGUUGUUAAAAUCUCCCGUUGGCAGAUGAUUUUGGCUGUGCUGCAGAAUCUUUGGCUUCGAGGCGUACCCUGUAGACUGGACUCAAUAUCGCUCAGCUAAUGGCCAAAGUCAUCGACUGAUGACUUCAACGUCAUACUCAGCUCGGCUGGAAGCCGAUAUCUAGUGGGAGGCAACUGGAAUGCACAUCACUGGCUGUGGGGCGCAAGUAGCAGCAAAUGCGCGCGGCUUUCAACUAGCUUACAGCCUAGCGCAUCGUCAAGCGAGGUACUGGCCACAGGUUCUCCCACAAGAUACCCGUACGUCAGCAGAGGCACUCCGUCUUGCAUAGACUUCGCUAUCUACCAGGGAAUCCCUGACCAGCUUCUUUCAAUCGGUACUGAUAGUUAACCUGGGGAGCAGGGCCAGAGUGGUCGGCGCAAUACCGAGGCUGAUCAACUCACGCACUGAUCUCCAGAGACAGAUGAGUAAUAGUAUAGAUCUGAAUAGUGAAAUUAGCACUGGACUGGAUGUAGAGGACGCCAUUGAUCUGCUUAACGCAAAGAAAUAUCGACUAUAUCGACUAUAUCGACUAGCCGCACACACUAACAGGCUCGCCAGCAACCCUCAAGGUGCCAUUCCAUCAGGAAACUAGAGAAAAUUACUUUGCCCAGAUACUUGCGCACAUAGAUCUCCACAUGGGAACUUUGCAUCAUCACUCCCAAAUUCCUUUUAUACCCUUACUGUUCGGGAGAAUAUAAUUUUUCCUGAAACUUAUUAAAUUUCCCAGAGGAAGAAUUGCAUUUUCAAGAGUCUUUAAUUAGUUUAAUUCUUGUUAUUUUUAUUCCGAAAGCUAACACAAAAAUCCGUCCAUAAAUUUUGGUCUUAAUUGGACACGUGAGUGUUCAAAAAUUCUAAAAUGCUGGUAACCCUUUUAGACUAAGACACCCACUGAACCUGACCGUUCCGGUAACCAUUUAGAUCGCUGCUAAUGUGAAGUCGAAAAUCAUUAUUGCCCAGACAAACAGCGUAUUUCUGGGUUGUAGGCACAUUAUAUACAUGUAAAAAUAAUUAUUCCUAUCUAGCGGAAAGCUGGAGAUCUAGAAUAAAUUAUUUUUUUUUGUUGAGUGCUUGUCGACUUCCGAAAGCUUCUUCGCGUAAGUUCACAUGACUUUCAGCUUUAUGAGAUUGUGCUGCUAAGCUUGCACAAUGGUUCAAGCGCAACAGCUUUCGGCAUCGGAUUUUAUUUAGUAAUUUAAUUGAGCAUCCAAUAAUAUAUUUCUAUAUAAUAAGAUAUAAAGCAUUUACUCGUGAAUAACUAAGU